rnacentral:ncRNA from 1 species
CCCCUGACUGUAUGGCAGGGUGCACUCUCCUUCGGGAGGGCCGAAGAAUGUUAAACUUCAGAAAUCAAACAACGAAAUGGCAAAUUUAGUAGCU